rnacentral:lncRNA from 1 species
ACUCCCUCCGUCCCAAUAUUCAAGUCCCGUAUUCCUUUUUGGGACGUCCCAUGUAACAAGUCCCCUUUCCUUUUUGGGUAAAUUUUAAGGGCAACUAAUUUCUAAUUAAACAUGAAUUACUUUUAAUCCCCCAUCUACCUCACAGUCACACUAUUCGUCUCUCUCUCUCUCUCUACCACCUCCCCCCUUCCCCUCUCUCUCUCCUCUGCGAUCUCUUCUCCGGCGCCUCCACCGCGCCUCCCUCCUCCGCCGUCGGCGACACUCACGGCUAUUCGCCGGCCUCAUCGCCCUCUCCAUCUCAACACCCAAUUUCAUCCCACCCUCUGCUCUCUCUCUCUCUAGCCGAGGGGACGCGACGAAGGUGAAGCUCCUGCUGCCUCGCCGGAAAUCGAGCAAAUCAGCGGCGAUUCGCGGAGAGAGGUGGUGUUGUGUUGGCUUGUGCUGUUGGUGUUGUUGUGUGAGCGUCAGUCGAGAGAGAGAGGUGAGAGUUCGGGAGUCAGGGCGGCAACGACGGUGGCUAUUAGUUGCUGCUGUCCGGCGGAACAAUGGGAAGAGGGAGGGGGAAGCUAGGGAACGGCGGUGCGGACGUCGGAAAUCGAAGCUUGAGGGGCAGAUUUAGGGAUCUAGGGUUUCACCGAGAUCUAAGCCCUAAAUCUGCCAAGAUCUAAGCCCUUCCCCCUCUGUAAAUCGAGAUCUAAGCCCUAAAUUCGCCGAGAACUAUCGCGCCACCGCCUCUCGCCUCCGCCCUCCGGACGCCACCGUUCGAGCCGCCUCCGCCCGCACCGUUCGAGAUUUAGGGAUCUAUGUUUUUGAUUUUUUUUUGUUUUUUAAAUUUCUGGGUCUCUUUGUUUCUGCGGUGGGCUCGCCGGUGUUUCACUGUUCCGGCGUUAAGCGCGGUGGCAGUCAGCCAAGGAGCCGGUGUCUCACUGUUCCGACGUUAAGCGAGGUGGCAGCCGGCCCAGAAAGAAGAGAGUGUUUUAAUUUUUAUUUUUAAAGUCAUUUAGUUAAACAAGUUAAUCAAUGCAUAAAUAACAUUAAAUAAUACACUAAACAUGUGGGGUCAUCUACUUUUACAUCUACUUUAAUUCUCCUAAAUACCCGUGCCCAAAAGAAAGGGGACUUCAAUAUUGGGACGGAGGGA